AGAGGACAUGCAGAUGAUCGUCACAGCAACAGAAUCAAUUCUCUCUAGAAACCCUAGUUGCAGCAACCAGAGAUUUUCACUCUGAUCACAAGCUCGGAGAGGGUGGAUUCGGCCCUGUUUA